UACGUAGGGGGCAAGCGUUGUCCGGAUUUAUUGGGCGUAAAGGGCUCGUAGGCGGUUUGUCGCGUCGGGAGUGAAAACACCGGGCUUAACUCGGUGCUUGCUUUCGAUACGGGCAGACUAGAGGCAUGCAGGGGAGAACGGAAUUCCUGGUGUAGCGGUGAAAUGCGCAGAUAUCAGGAGGAACACCGGUGGCGAAGGCGGUUCUCUGGGCAUGUCCUGACGCUGAGGAGCGAAAGUGUGGGGAGCGAACAGG
rnacentral:rRNA from 1 species